GACGAACGCUGGCGGCGUGCUUAACACAUGCAAGUCGAACGGAAAGGCCCCAGCUUGCUGGGGUACUCGAGUGGCGAACGGGUGAGUAACACGUGGGUGAUCUGCCCUGCACUCUGGGAUAAGCCUGGGAAACUGGGUCUAAUACCGGAUAGGACCGUGCUUUAGUGUGUGCGGUGGAAAGUUUUUCGGUGCAGGAUGAGCCCGCGGCCUAUCAGCUUGUUGGUGGGGUAAUGGCCUACCAAGGCGGCGACGGGUAGCCGGCCUGAGAGGGUGUACGGCCACAUUGGGGCUGAGACACGGCCCAGACUCCUACGGGAGGCAGCAGUGGGGAAUAUUGCACAAUGGGCGCAAGCCUGAUGCAGCGACGCCGCGUGGGGGAUGACGGCCUUCGGGUUGUAAACCCCUUUCGGCAGGGACGAAGCUUUUGUGACGGUACCUGCAUAAGAAGCACCGGCUAACUACGUG
rnacentral:rRNA from 1 species